rnacentral:lncRNA from 1 species
GUAGAGAGCUUUUGGAGGGAAAAACUUUAUUGAGGUAAUGACACAUGUCAUAGGUGAUGUGGCAAGGAUUUUUCUUUGUUAUAUAGUAAAUAAAUUAGUAUAGGUUUUGUUAUAUAGAUUUAGUAAGAGUGUCGUCUCACCUUUUUGGGUAAGCAAUUAAUUCAUUUUGGAGUCCGUGGAUGCCCCUCCCAACAAGUAUCACUCUCAAAAAUCAAACACUCGACCUUGGGAUCCAGUGAGGCCUUACAUCCCUACACUAAUGCCUUGUUGCUAUAGGUUUGGAACCAACAAUCUUAGCUUAUCUUUUUAUUAUUGAAUUGAAAUAAAUUUAUUAAUUUCAAGUCAUUCAUACAUAUGAGAAUUUAACAUGAAUCAUUCAUACCUAUAAUAAUUUCUCCUCUUUAGUUUUCUUUUCCAUUCGUACUUAACUGGUUUUUGCUUGAGCCACAACCUAGAAAAUCAUGUAAGGUGUUAAAGGAUAUUUACAUUGAUAGAGAAUUAUGUUAUCUAUGAUUUAGUUAGUCUCACUAUAUUUGGGUUUAUCUAUAAUUUAUAUUUAUCUAUUAGUUAUUAUUUGAGGUUAUCAUCUUAUCGUUUAUAACAACUUCUGUUUAUAUAAUAAAUUGUUUGGGACUAACUCAAAUUGAGUUUGGCCAAUCUUUAUCAUCAUAUAAUUUAGUAGUGAUUUCUUUUCCUAUUGAUGGUCAUUCUGAUGGUGAUUAUAUCACUGAAUUUUUUUUCACUCAUAAUCAUUCUAGUGAUGCAUUUUUUUCUUUCUCCUAUUGAUGAAUUAUCUUAGUGGUGAUUUCUUUUCUCAUCGACGAUUAUUCCCAUGGUUAUUAUACUAUUAUUUCUCUUCUUAGUGACGAUCAUUUUAGUAGUGCCUCUUUUUUCUGAGUGAUGAACUAUAUUAAUAAUAAUUUCUUUUCAAAUCGAUGGUCAUUCUCAUGUUAUUAAAUCUAAAAAAUUUGUCGUUCACAACAUCGUUCAACAAGUUUUGUGUGGAGCCUAUAUAUUCAUUUGGUUAUUUUUAUUUUAAAGGAAUUAUUUGUAACAAACUUAAAGUUUACUAAGUUUUAGCUUGAAGGGACGUGUUAAAGGAUAUUUAAAUAGAUAAAAAAUUAUCUUAUCUAUAAUUUAGUUAGUCUCACUUUAUUUGAGUUUAUCUAACGCCACCUUCCUAUUAUUCAACACAAAAUGAUCCCAAAUAUUUUUUUAUUUGCUCCAAAUCUUCAACGAUGCAUUAAUCUUCACUUGCAAAAAACUUAGAAUCAAACUUAGUUGUUUUCCAUUUAUUCAUAUUUAAAUUACAAUGAAUGAAAUCAAAUUUUGCUCAUAAAUAUCACAUUAAUACUUACAUAUCGUUACACAAUUAUUAUCAAAAUUAUUUCAAAUAUUAACAUAAAUAUAAUCAUAGCAUUUAAAUCCAUAAUCAAUCAAAUUAUUAUCAAUAUUUCUAUAACACGACAAAUGUCAACCAUAAGAUUAAAUUAUAGAAUGAAAUACAAUGAAUGAAAUAGAAAAGGAAGAAACAAAUGCAAACCCACAUUCCUAUUGGUGAAUGGGGUGGAAUUUGAUGAAUUAUAACAUGAGUUUCCCUUACAUUUAUCUAUUUGAGUGAUGAAAAAUGAAUGAUUGUGGAUUACCUUCUAUAGUUUCUAUAAAUAGAAAAAUCAAUCUCAACAUGAUUCGCAUAGUUAAUUCAUGUUGUGCAACAAAAUAGAUGAACCACAAGGUAAAACGAAAAAAAAACAUAGAAUCAAUAUCGUGAUACUUCUUGCUCAAGAUUAGGUAUAAAAACUUAUAAACAACGAUUUCUUUACAAAAUUAAGGGGAAAUGAUCAAAAUACCAGAGUGUCACAGAUUAUUUACUUUUUCUUCAUAUACCAUCUCGUCAUUGUUCAUGUCAUUUUCAGUAUUACAAUAAUGAUUAUUUUGAAUAGAAAAAUCUAUAAACAAAUUAAUAUAUGCAAAGAGAUAUAGAAAACUAACCUAUAAUGAUGUUUCAUGGGUGAACAAACAAUAGAGACAUCAGAUCAAAUAGAACUAUCAUCGACGCCCUUGUCAUUAGAGACAUCUCACUCCUCUAGUUAUCCAACAAUAACAACAGAUCUAUAAAAUUAAAAAAAUGGAUUUUAAUGCAAGAAUGAUAUAAAACCAUUUUAAAUUAAGAAAUUUUGAAAUGGAAUAAUAAUAUAAACGAAGAAGAGAGAAAGAACGGUUAAAGAAAAUAAGAGUAAUGAAAUGAAGGAGUGAAAUAGAGAAAUAGAGUUCUCUGCUUAGUUAUAAAAUGGGAAAGAAAAUUAUGGAAAAGAGAAGAAGAAUAAAGAAUAAAGAGAGAUGUCAAUGGAUAAUAGCAAAUGUAAUGGUAUGAUGCGGUGGCAAUUUAUUUUUAUGCUUGAUUAAUAUCAAUAAUGUUUGAAGAUAAUCGCAAAAACAUAUAAGUAUCUAUUAGUUUAAAGAAGAAGAUAAGUGCUAAUAAAUUGGUCAAUAUGAAAAAAACAUAUCACAAUGUAUAUCAAAAGUUGAGUAUAAAGAAAUACUUAUAAAGUACAACAAAGGUAAAACAAAAAAGUAAAUAUUGAUAUAUUGGUAAUAUUAUAUUACGAUCAUCUACAUCAAAUGUACACCAAAAUUAGAUCAAAAUAUCGUGUAGUUUGAUAAUAUUAUCAAGAGAAGUAAAAACAAUUACAACUUAACAUCAAAACUUUAAUGAAUGUUAUGACUAAAGCUAAGAUAUUAAAAAAUUGUGAAAGAAUUAAACAAUAAUCACAAAUGAAUCUGAAUAUUAUGAACCAAGAAAAGUAAGAAAAAUUAUAGCGUAAGAGUAACACUUCAAUGAAGGAGAAAUAGUGAGUGAUAUAAGACAAAAAAAUAGGAAAACAAUAUCAAGACAUAAUAGGUCGCACUUCAAUGAAGAUUAUUACCAAAUGUAUGAUUAUAUUAAAAAUAGUGAAAGGAUUAAACAACUCACACACACAAAGAUGAAUAUCAUGAACCAAGAAAAGUAAAAAAAAAAUAUUACAGCAUAACAAAGGAAAGACAUUAACCUAAUAUGGUUCCAACAAACCAUUAAUUUAGUUCCAAAUGAUUAACUACCAAAACCUAAAAGAGGCAAGACAUUUGAUAGAGUUAGUUGACAUGCCUGGUAAGAACAAUUGAUUCAUUAGAGGAUUAACACAAUACCACUAAGUGGUGCGUCUUCCCCCAAGUGAUGCAAUAUAAAGAAUGCUUAGCUCACUUAUAAAAGAUGGUUACACAUCAAUUAUCGGUUAUGAAUGACUAUUAAGAAUCCUAACUAUCAUUAACUCAUGUGAGUGUUUUGUAUUAAGCAUUGUGAACUAUUGAUUCGGGAGUAUGUUCUCUAAUCAAUUUUUUUUUUGUUGAUAAAAAAGUUAGAUGCAUGAUUACCCUUAAGGUUAUGGUAGUGUGACUCCAUAUGAACAAUUGUAAUAAUGCGAAUACGAUCAUGCUUCCUUGAUUAUAUUUGACAUUAAUAUAUUUCAUAAUUGUUGAUUGGCGUUCAGAAUGAAACUAACGUUUACACUUAACAAAUGCUAGAUUCAUUCUUAGAUAUAGAGUUGCACAUCGUUUCUAAGGGUCUACUCACACUUAUACAAAUGAACAUGAAUUUUAUGAACCAAGCACAGUAAAAAGAAAUUACAACAUAAGAAUAAUAGUUCAAUGAAGGAAAAAUAGACAGUGACAUAAGAUAAAAAAUAGGAAUACAAUAUCAACUUAUAAUAUGUCACACUUCAAUUAAGGUUACUACCAAAGGUAAGAUAAAUAAAAGGAACAGUGAAAGCAUUAAACAAUAAAUAGAAACAAAGAUGAAUAUCAUGAACUAGAAAAAGUAAAACAAAAAAUUACAGCAUAACAGUAACACUUCAAUGAAGGAUGUGACCGAAGUUAAUAUUAAAAAACAAAGAACCUAAGUAAAUAUAUAAAAAAAAAUAAGAAGACAAAGGGCAAACGAAAUUGGAAGAAGAUCUCCCUAUAAUCCUUGGUAAAAUUACACACAUUACUUUCUUUCAAAAUCAAAGAACCUCACCAAAUAUAAAGCAAAAUUAAAAUGACAAACAUGAUGAAGAACACAACGCAUAUAAUAAAGAAAAAAAAUGAAAUGAGAGGGGGCAAAUGACAUUCCAAACGCAUAAAUAAAAAAUAAAGUAAAACAAAUUGAAAGAAAUGAAGAAAGGAAAAAUGAUAUGUUAUAGAUAUGUGAUAUACACAUCACAUCACGACAAUCCAGAAAAGUUCCUCAUUUUGUUAGAGAAACGAAGUAAACAAUGAAGGUGAAAAUAAUUUAGAGAAACGAAGAGACAUGUAACGAAACAGUAAGUGGAACAUUUCUAAAUUUUUUUGAAGAAAGUCAUUUUGUAAAUCAUUCCUUCAUCCAGAUUUCAAGUGAAAUUCAAAAGUGGAUUAUUUGUGAUUUAUAAAUGUCAUUGAAGGUGAGCCAUGAUUUAAUUAUUUUGGGAAGUUAAAACAACGGCUAUAAUUUUGUUGGUCAUGAUUUACGUUGGUCAUCAUUUCAAUUUAAUGGAAUCAGUAAUUAAAAUUGUUUUUGGGAAGUUUUUUUUUUAUCAGCAAAUUGAUUAGAUUGAAAAAUAAUUUUUUUUAGGAGAAUAAGUGGUACUCCUCUCCACUUAGGAAUUAAGAAUACAUUCUAAAAAUAAGCUGAAGGAUUCGAAACUCACUCCAAGUAAGAAGUAGAAAACGAAGGGGACAAAGCCAUAAGGACGUUCCAUGACUGAAGGUAAAUUACAUUCCCAACAUCCUCUAGAUUGAAAAUUCUUUGUUUAAAGAGAAUAUUAUUCAUGGUUACCCAGAGAGACCAGAUAGUGACAAAGCAUAUCGAGAUCCAAUUCCGAGUGACAUCCUUCCUCUUCUUAAGCAAAAGGGUGUGAGACAAGAAGUGCUUCUAACAUCACUAGGGAGAACGGAGCAAAUACCAAACCACGCAUGGAUCUUCUGCCAAACAGAAGAUCUAUGAUAUUUUUGGGAAGUUAAAACAUCACCUAUGAUAUUUUUUGCCAUGAUUUACAUUGGUCGUUAUUUCAAUUCAAUGGCAUCAGUAAUAAAAAUAAGGAUAUAUAAUAAAUAUAUAUAUAAAAAACAAAUAGUAAAGGGGUUUGUCAUGUUAUCAUAUGUGUGGGGAUGUAUAGAAAGGGGUAGAGAGCUUUUGGAGGGAAAAACUUUAUUGAGGUAAUGACACAUGUCAUAGGUGACGUGGCAAGGAUUUUUCUUUGUUAUAUAGUAAAUAGAUUAGAAUAGGUUUUGUUAUAUAGGUUUAUAAAGCGUAUCUUCUCACCUUUUUUGGUAAGAAAUUAAUUCAUUUUAGAGUUCGUGGUUGCCCUCCCAACAAGUAUCCCUCUCAAAAAUCAAACUCUCGAGCAUGGGAUCCAGUGAGGUCUUUUAAACCACUACACUAAAGCCUUGUUGCUAUAGGUUUGGAACCAACAAUUUUAGCUUAUCUUUUUAAUAUUGAAUUGAAAUAAGUUUAUUAAUUUCAAGUAAUUAAUACAUAUGAGAAUUUAAUAUGAAUCAUUUAUACCUAUAAUAAUUUCUCUUCUUUAGUUUUCUUUUUUAUUCGUCCUUUACUAGUUUUUGCUUGAGCCGCAACCUAGAAAACCAUGUAAGGUGUUAAAGGAUAUUUACAUUGAUAGAGAAUUAUCUUAUCUAUAAUUUAGUUAGUCUCACUUUAUUUGAGUUUAUCUAAAGCCACCUUCCUAUUAUUCAACACAAAAUGAUCCCAAAUAUUUUUUAUUUGCUCCAAAUCUUCACUAGC